rnacentral:rRNA from 1 species
UACGUAGGGUGCAAGCGUUGUCCGGAAUUAUUGGGCGUAAAGAGCUCGUAGGCGGUUUGUUGCGUCGGCUGUGAAAUCCCGAGGCUCAACCUCGGGUCUGCAGUCGAUACGAGCAAACUAGAGUGUUGCAGGGGAGACUGGAAUUCCUGGUGUAGCGGUGAAAUGCGUAGAUAUCCGGAAGAACACCGGAGGCGAAGGCGGCUUGCUGGGCGUGAUCUGACGCUGAGGCGCGAAAGCGUGGGGAGCAAACAGG